rnacentral:lncRNA from 1 species
UUCCUGUAAUCCUCGAAUGUAAUGAAUUGCAUUCUGUGGCACUUUAGAAUUUGCAAAGCACUUUCCUCUACAGGUUUUGUUCCUCACCAAAAAUCCAUGAGAUGAAUCUUAUUAUUCUCAUUUUACAGAUGCAGAAACUGCCACUCAAAGAAGGUAGGAGAAUGGUCCAGUGGAUGGAAGGAUGGAGUUCAAGUUUUAGACACGGAUGACUUGUGUGACCUUGGCUCAGUCCUUUAACCUAUCUCUGCCUCAGUUUCCUCAUUGGUAAAAUGAGAUGGCAAAAUAAAUGGCAAAUCAUGGCGGUAUCUUAGCCAAGAGAACCCCAAGCGGGGUCAUGAAGUGUGGGACAUGGCUGAACACUACAUGGGACAGGCCCUACACUAGAAACUGGACACACAAAACCAAAAAUGAAAAUAAUCUUUGUCUUCAGAGAGCCUGCAGCCCCCAUCCAAAGUCCUGAGCUCGCAGCCCCUCUCUGAUGCUUCCAACCUGGGCGACAGGUGGGCGAGUCCUGGAAUGUUUCCAUUUUCUCAUCUCAGAAGUGAAGGGUUUGUUUGCACUAGCUGGCCUCUGGGGUCCCUCCCAGCUCUUCCUCGAUGAUCCUGAAAUCCUGGCACUUUGGGAAAGCCAGCUCAGUGGAGGGAACCUGGAUCUUAAGAGGAGGUGAGGAAACUGAGGACAAAGGGCGCAGUGACUGCCCCGAAGCUCAUCGGUGGAACUGGGAACCAGCUUUUUGGACUUCAAGCCCAGGGUUCUUACCACGAUUCCACGGGGAAACAUUCUUUGACACAGAAUAGAAAAUGAUGGACGUGCAAAAGGGCCCCCACCAUUUGGAUUUAUCAUAUGCUAGAGCCUUCCAAAUGGAAACUUCAUAAAAGUAUUUGCCUAGGAAUUGUGCAUGCGGGUGUUUUAGUGGAAGUGCAACCUUGUUAAAGUGUGAAAUAUUUCCUUGCUGGAGUCUGUUGGAGUAUUUGUCUGCUCCACCCCCGGGAGGGCCUGGCCCAAAUCGCUGUCCAGGUCCCAGCUGGACAUACUUUGUAAAUGCUGCCUUUGUUUCGAGUUUCCACUGAGCUUCAGCCUCGAUGACAU